rnacentral:lncRNA from 1 species
AUAUAAGAUUCCCUCCCAUAGCCGAUCUUGCACUCCUUCUUGGAUUAAGUCUUGCUAGAAUUUGUAAGACUUGAAAUAGGACUCAUCAAAAGGACUUCAGUUUGGAAUAGGUUUUGUUGGCCGAAUGCAUGUUUAUUCUUGGACUCCUUUUUCAAGUUAAGUUAUUUUUUCAUCUCUUUGAUUGUUUGUCUUUUCUCAACUUGUAAUCUUCCAUGGAAUGUAGGAGAGUGGUCUCCUUAUU